rnacentral:piRNA from 1 species
UAUUGUAUUGUUUUGUGGUGUUUGCC